rfam:Oryza nivara chromosome 4, whole genome shotgun sequence.
UUUAACGUCGUUGAUUUUUUUAAACAUGUUUGACCGUUCGUCUUAUUCAAAAAAUUUAAGCAAUUAUUAAUUCUUUUCCUACCAUUUGAUUCAUUGCUAAAUAUACUUUUAUGUAUACAUAUAGCUUUACAUAUUUCACAAAAGUUUUUGAAUAAGACGAACGGUCAAACAUGUUUAAAAAAGUCAACGGCGUCAAACAUU